UUAAGUUCAGCGGGUAUCCCUACCUGAUCCGAGGUCAACCUUAAAAAAUUGGGGUUGCUGGCAAGCUACCGACGGACCCUAUCGCGAGAGAAUUACUACGCGAAGAGCCAACCGGCGCCGCCACUAAGUUUAAGAGCCGCUGGUGUGCGAACUCCAAUACCAAGCUAGGCUUGAGUGGUGUAAAUGACGCUCGAACAGGC
rnacentral:misc_RNA from 1 species